rnacentral:rRNA from 1 species
UCCUUCGAAGAGUCGAGUUGUUUGGGAAUGCAGCUCAAAAUGGGUGGUAAAUUUCAUCUAAAGCUAAAUAUUGGCGAGAGACCGAUAGCGCACAAGUAGAGUGAUCGAAAGAUGAAAAGCACUUUGAAAAGAGAGUUAAACAGUACGUGAAAUUGUUGAAAGGGAAGCGCUUGCAAUCAGACCUGCUUUCGAUUGAUCAAUGUUCCUUCUGGUUCAUGCACUCUUUCGUUGGCAGGCCAGCAUCGGUUGGAGCGGUGGGACAAAGACUUCAGGAAUGUGGCUCUCUUCGGGGAGUGUUAUAGCCUGUUGUGCAAUGCCACCAGCACCGACCGAGGUCCGCGCUUUUUGCUAGGAUGCUGGCUUAAUGGUUGU